rnacentral:rRNA from 1 species
GGUUCAAGGAUGAAAGACGGUUUCGGCUGUCACUUACAGAUGGACCCGCGGCGCAUUAGCUAGUUGGUGAGGUAACGGCUCACCAAGGCGACGAUGCGUAGCCGACCUGAGAGGGUGAUCGGCCACACUGGGACUGAGACACGGCCCAGACUCCUACGGGAGGCAGCAGUAGGGAAUCUUCCGCAAUGGACGAAAGUCUGACGGAGCAACGCCGCGUGAGUGAUGAAGGUUUUCGGAUCGUAAAGCUCUGUUGUUAGGGAAGAACAAGUGCAAGAGUAACUGCUUGCACCUUGACGGUACCUAACCAGAAAGCCACGGCUAACUACGUGCCAGCAGCCGCGGUAAUACGUAGGUGGCAAGCGUUGUCCGGAAUUAUUGGGCGUAAAGGGCUCGCAGGCGGUUUCUUAAGUCUGAUGUGAAAGCCCCCGGCUCAACCGGGGAGGGUCAUUGGAAACUGGGAAACUUGAGUGCAGAAGAGGAGAGUGGAAUUCCACGUGUAGCGGUGAAAUGCGUAGAGAUGUGGAGGAACACCAGUGGCGAAGGCGACUCUCUGGUCUGUAACUGACGCUGAGGAGCGAAAGCGUGGGGAGCGAACAGGAUUAGAUACCCUGGUAGUCCACGCCGUAAACGAUGAGUGCUAAGUGUUAGGGGGGUUUCCGCCCCUUAGUGCUGCAGCUAACGCAUUAAGCACUCCGCCUGGGGAGUACGGUCGCAAGACUGAAACUCAAAGGAAUUGACGGGGGCCCGCACAAGCGGUGGAGCAUGUGGUUUAAUUCGAAGCAACGCGAAGAACCUUACCAGGUCUUGACAUCCUCUGACAACCCUAGAGAUAGGGCUUUCCCUUCGGGGACAGAGUGACAGGUGGUGCAUGGUUGUCGUCAGCUCGUGUCGUGAGAUGUUGGGUUAAGUCCCGCAACGAGCGCAACCCUUGAUCUUAGUUGCC